ensembl:lncRNA high mobility group protein HMGI-C-like
GUUCAGUGUGUGAUUCCAGGCGUGUCGAGGGGAGCUGGGUUUCACUUGCAGUCACUGCUCAGGGCUGCCAUCUCCGGAGAUCUCCGGCAGCGCUCGCUGUUCCAUAUCGCAGACUGGGAGCGCAACCCACGGCGCUGGGCUCCGUGUGACGCUCCUGAGAUGAGUGUGUGCAGAGACCUGGGUUAGCUGCUUCUCACCACUGCAGGGGGCUCCCAGCUACUGGAUACCUCUUUCUCUCCUGCCUUCAUUGCUAGCUCUGCUGGGGCUGAGUCAAGCAGUGCUGCCCAACUUCUCAACAGCCUUGCAGGUAGUGGAGAAUCCAUAACAAGAUAAAGCAAAAAAGAGGAGGCAAGUUUUCUUUCCUAGUCCAGGAAAAAUAACCUGUUGGAUUAUAAUCUGCUAAGAGUGGAGAAGUGCCAACAUGAGCAACAAGGGGGCAGAGAAUCCCAUCUCAUCCACACUGACCCAGGGCGUGAAGAGAAAGAGGGGAAGACCAAAGAAGCAGCCACAGGAGGAUGGUGGAAACACAGCUGUUAUCCCACAGGAUGCUGUGGAACCACAGCCAGUGAAGAAACCACGAGGAAGGCCAAAAGGAAGCAAGAAAGCGACUGUUCUAACUGGGGGAACGGCAGAACCUUCUGCUGGGAAGAGGCCAAGAGGGAGGCCCCGCAAGUGGCCUCAAGCAGUGGUCCAAGAAGGAGAGCCUCAGGAAGAAAAUCCUCUGAAAAGCAAUGACUUGAAUUUGAACUCAGCACCAGCCACACAAGACAUCACUGGAAAAGACGGCUCCAGGUCUGGCAAAACCACUGGUCUUAGGAGAUGUCUGAGUAACAUCCCUGCUGCAGCUCAGUAGUGUCCUACCUGUUUGUGUCUUGCUGAAGCCAGAGGAGUGGAAAGCAAACAGGACUUUUAAUGUUGUAUUUCAGAUUCUUCAUUUGUGAUAAUUUUAGCCAAGCUCUCUCCUGUUGCCUGUGGACUUGCUUACCCCAAACAUCCAAACAAGGAUUUAGGGGAAGAAAUGGCAAAUUGCCUUGUUGGAGAGAUGCCUUUUAGAGUUUAUAGGAUAUCUUCUGGGAGUAUAAUAAUUUCUCUUUAAAAUACUUGGAUAACCUGGUGCCUUGCCCCGCCACAGAGAGCAGUACUUCAACAGAAGUUGACUCAGCAAUGCAGAUACAGGAAAGGAAAUCUAUUUACACAGCUAAUGGCUGAGCUUGUCUGCCAUAUCACCUCUGGCAGACUGAUGGAGCAGUGCCAGGGGUUGAGUUUUGCUGUGUUGCCCAUAGGGACUGGAUCUCAAAGACAGCCUUUGAGUCCUUUCUUGACUAUUCCAGAACAAAAAACCUUCAUGGCAUUUCCAGCUUGCCCUGCACUGUUGUUCCAGUGGCCAGUAACUUGCAUGCUUUAGAGGAAAGUUUGCACCCUGAUAUCUUAGGGAUUGAUUCUGAAUUUUUUAUCUUAAUGUGAUCAGCUCAGGGCCUUCUCCUAUAACUAUUUCUGGCCUGGUGGCUCUCCCCUCAAGUUUGAUAGCAGCUCCCAAGUGCACAGUGCUUACCAGCUUAGUCACAGCCACUGGAUUUCAUCUCUUCAAAGGAGUGUCUGUAAAGAGCCAGUUAAAAAGUUGCUUCCUUGCAGAGCCUCGGGAUUCAAUUUAAAUUAGUUUAAAUUCAGUCCCUAAAAUGCGUGUGUGGGGUCCUCUAGUGUCACAACUAUGCAAAGAAAAGCUGCUGAUAGUUCAGUUUUGGGAGACAGCAGUAGCCAGUUGGUUUGAGAUUGUUGCUGGCUGCUCUCAGUUUCACACUGUUUGCAGAUUUGUGCUUUUGGUGUCAGAGCUGUUAAAUUCUGAGGAAUUAAGGGUAUUUCCAAUAUCCAGUUGCAAAUAGUGAAAUCCCGGUGGUAUUUUCCAUCUCCUGGAUGUUCUGCCUGCCUAUUAAAGGGACAAAGUGGGUAUUUCAAUUAUCUCUGACAGGAUGUAAAAUUGGCUAGCUUUACAGUGUUAAAUAUUUAAACAGAACAUAAUUGGCUUUAAAUUUAUGGUGGUGCAUAGCAGAAGCCCAUGAAAUGGCUGUAUAUAUUGAACUCAUUUAUUAUCUUUUCAUCAGAGUUCUGUUCCCUUGGCAAGUAUUUGUUUAACACCAGAAAAUGUAUGCAGAAUUAAGAAGGGCUGAUUGGAGAGAUAAUAGGGGGAAAGUGGGUUUUUUUCCUUUUGGGUCAUUUUGUCCAGUCCAUCUAGUUUAGUACUGAUGAAUCCUGAUCCCAUUAAUUCUGCUUAGUAGUGAUGAUAGUCCUAGUCCUAGUUCUGUGUGGUAUCUGGUUUGCCCUAAGGGUACUCUCUUCUGGAUGGAGCUUGGUGGUCACAGCACAGAACUGCAUCACAGAUAAUCUUUGUGCCUCCACUACCAAAUAGCAGAGAAAUCUAGGACUAAAGGGAUUAGAUCACAGGGACUGACCUAAAUCCUGUGCUAUAGGAUGAGCUGUGCUGCCAGAUACAAGGAGUUUGACCCCCAGCUCCUGCUGUGGGGAUAACUCUGGGUGGGACAUGACACAAGUGAAUCUGUACUGUUGAUGGGGACAUAAGAAGGUGCAGCUGGUGCUCCCCUGAAUUCUGCUGCUCUUCAGUGCACUCAAAAGUUCAGCUGCAGUUCAUAUCUGCAUUCAAAGGCUACUCCAGUAGCAGACCAAUAUAUUUUACCAACUUCUGUGCCUGAUUUUCAGUUGAUUUGGCAGGUUCAGUACUCUGUUUGCAAGGCUGUACUGCCUGUUUAAUUAACCCCUGUUACCUGAGAGCAGUGGUUUUUGCAGUGUGAGACUGUAACUUCAGCUUCUAAAUGGAUUAGGGAUUACAUCUGUUAGAGACUCAAGCUUUUCCUGUGACAUCAGACAGUCCUUUCUCAGCUGGUGGCAUGGAAUAGGGGUGCACACUGCCUUGGCUAGAUAGUAAAUCCAUCUGCUUUAGGUCAGCAGUAUUCCUCUGGAAAGUGCAUGCAAAGUACUUCCUAAAAAUAAAAAAAAUUAAAAUCUAGUCUUUGCUACCUCU